AGGACCGGGAUGGACGUACCUCUGGUGUACCAGUUGUCCUGCCAAGGGCAUGGCUGGGUAGCUAUGUACGGAAUGGAUAAGCGCUGAAAGCAUCUAAGCGCGAAGCCAACUUCAAGAUAAGAUUUCCAACCGCAAGGGUAAGACCCCAGAAAGACUAUCUGGUUGAUAGGUCGAAGGUGUAAGUGCAGCAAUGUAUUUAGCUUAUCGAUACUAAUAGGUCGAGGACUUGACCAAU
rnacentral:rRNA from 1 species